rnacentral:rRNA from 1 species
GUGGGGAAUAUUGGACAAUGGGCGCAAGCCUGAUCCAGCCAUGCCGCGUGAGUGAUGAAGGCCUUAGGGUUGUAAAGCUCUUUCAGUAGGGAAGAUAAUGACGGUACCUACAGAAGAAGCCCCGGCUAACUUCGUGCCAGCAGCCGCGGUAAUACGAAGGGGGCUAGCGUUGUUCGGAUUUACUGGGCGUAAAGCGCACGUAGGCGGAUUGGUCAGUUAGAGGUGAAAUCCUGGAGCUCAACUCCAGAACUGCCUUUAAUACUGCCAGUCUCGAGUCCGGAAGAGGUGAGUGGAACUCCUAGUGUAGAGGUGGAAUUCGUAGAUAUUAGGAAGAACACCAGUGGCGAAGGCGGCUCACUGGUCCGGUACUGACGCUGAGGUGCGAAAGCGUGGGGAGCAAACAGGA